rnacentral:lncRNA from 1 species
UUAUUUCAAACGAGUUAUUAACAAGAUACUGCAAACUAGUAGGACACAAAUAUCCAGACCACAUAUGUUCAAAGUGCAACGGAGAUGAUAACUAUGUACCAGAAGUCCAACUAGAAUGAAGGUAUCAACAAGAAGACAAAAGAAGAAGACAACUACUGGAAACACAUAAUGUAAAGUAAAUAGUACUAGUCACAUUCAUGAACAGUAAAGGUCGUUCAUGAAUAGUAAGAGUCAUGUAAAAAAGUCGUAAAGUAAAUAGUACUAGUCACAUUCAUGAACAGUAAAGGUCAUUCAUGAAUAGUAAGAGUCAUGUAAAAAAGUCGUAAAGUAAAUAGUACGAGUCACAUUCAUGAACAGUAAAGGUCGUUCAUGAACAGUAGGAGUCGUUAAAAUUUUCUAUAUAUUUUGUAAAUCAGAGGAAGGGAGGACAGCCUCAGACAUCCUCACUCUCUCUCUCUUAUCUUCUCUCAAUAAAAUAUCUAAUUAUAUACAAACUUCUGAAAGCUAUGGAGCAUUCAAAUGAGUUACAAAACCAAGUAAGUUUAUUCAUAA